AACAGUUUUUGCAGUCUUAUAGGGUGCAUUGUCCUGCUGAAACAGAGCACUGCCAUCAGGAAACACCGUUGCCAUGAAGUAGUGUACGUGGUCUGCAACAAUCUCUUGGUAGGAAGUACAUGUUAAAGUAGCAUCCACAUGAAUGCCAGAACACAAAGUUUUACAGCAGAACAUUGCCCAGAGCAUAACACUGCUUCCUCCGGCCUGUCUUCUUACCAUAGUGCAUCCUGCUGCCAUCUCUUCCUCAAGUAAAUGACGCACUCGGCCAUCCACUUGAUCUAAAAGAAAACCUGAUCCACCAGACCAGACAACCUUUCAUUGCUCCAUGGUUCAGUUCUGAUGCUCACAUUCCCAUUGAAGGCAUUAUUUGGAUGAAUCGCAAUUAAUUUGAACCUGAAUGCACAAUUCUACAUUCCAAAAUUAUGCACCUCGCUCUCCAGAUAACUAGAGCAUCUCUCUUUACACCGCUCUCCAACUGUUGUGGAUUUGAUAGUAUUUGAUAUAUUUCCAUAUUGAAGGUAACUAUAGAAACUGAAAUCGAUCUCUGCAGAAAUAAAUGCUUGAUGGACUUUUGUUUGGCCUUUCUUGGUGACAAAGAAGGAAGACAAAAAAAAAACCAAGAUUUGAAAUAGAAUAUUAUUUUUUCAGUUUUUAAAAAAAUAUGGGGGAGAGGUUAGGGGCUUAGGGUACUCCUAGACAAACAAAGGUGGGCUAGGGGUCCAGGAAACAUCCCUUUAGCUUUAUAAGCCUAGAAGACUUGGCGUCUCCAGGACUCCUUAGUAAUGGAGGAACAAGGACACUAGGGACUGGGCCACUUCACAGGUGCUUGUAUAUGGAUAUAGGGGCCCGGGCAUCUCC